AUGGAGCCGUCAGAGUUGUGCGUUGUAAGGAGGACCCGCGCCAUGGAUGACAUUGAGCACCGGCUUCACAAAGCCAUGGUGGUGUACAUUGGUGGGGACAGGUCAGAGAUCUCGCCGGAGCUGGUGAGGCGUGCUCUGAAAGACAGGAUGGGCAUCCCUGAGGACAGAUUUUCGGUGCACAAGUUCUGGCCGGAGGAUUUCCUGGUGGUCUUUGCUAGACAGGAGGACAGGAAUCUGUUGAGCAGGCGGUCGGUGCUGGAGCUUGAUGGGCACAGGUUGUUGUUCCGGCAGUGGAUCAGGCAGUCACAGGAGGUGUUCACGGCCAUGCGCUUCAAGGUGAGGUUGGUCAUCGAGGGGAUCCCGGCGCACGCAUGGGAGCUUGAGGUGAUUAAGAGUUUGUUGGGCGGUGCAUGUAUCAUCGAUUCCGUUGCGCCGGAGACCUCUGCUCGUUCAGAUCUUGCUGCGUUCAAGUUGCUGGCCUGGACGGCGGACCCGGAGCAAAUCCCCACCCACCGCUGGCUCGCGGUGCCGGAGCCGGAGGAGCAGAGGGCGCUUUUCCAGCCCAAGACUCUGCAAUACAAAGUGCUCAUACAUCUGGACUCUGUGAUUUCGUUCCCGGAGGGGAAGGAACCGUGGUUCUUGGGCGGCUCGUCGGACAGUGGCCAAAGCGGCCUGCCGGACUCAGAGAUGGAUAUGGGAGGAGGCGCUAACACGCAGAACUUUGGCUGGCGGUUUGGGGUCCGUGACUCGAGGGGUGACAAUGCCGGAGGGUCGGGAGGUGGCCGGAGCUAUGCCGGCGGCGUGGCCCGCGACGGAGCGCCAUCGUCGGAGUGGAAGAUUCCCCCCAUGGCCCAGGCUAGAGAGAGAUGUCGUGGUGGGGCCGGGGUCCGCGCCCACGAUAGGCUGACGGUGCGUCAGUCUGCUUUUGACCGGAUCGCUUCUGGACCCGGACAGGUGGACAAGGAUGCCACGGGGACGACUUGA
rnacentral:rRNA from 1 species